rnacentral:sRNA from 1 species
AACGCAGCGAAAUGCGAUAAGUAAUGUGAAUUGCAGAAUUCAGUGAAUCAUCGAAUCUUUGAACGCACAUUGCGCCCGGCAGCAAUCUGCCGGGCAUGCCUGUCCGAGCGUCAUUUCUUCCCUCGAGCGCGGCUAGCCCUACGGGGCCUGCCGUCGCCCGGUGUUGGGGCUCUACGGGUGGGGCUCGUCCCCCCCGCAGUCCCCGAAAUGUAGUGGCGGUCCAGCCGCGGCGCCCCCUGCGUAGUAGAUCCUACAUCUCGCAUCGGGUCCCGGCGAAGGCCAGCCGUCGAACCUUUUAUUUUCAUGGUUUGACCUCGGAUCAGGUAGGGUUACCCGCUGAACUUAAGCAUAUCAAUA